rnacentral:rRNA from 1 species
UUGAUAGGGAAAGGUUUACUGAGUACCGAAGUGCCUGAUACUUUGCUUCUAAAAAAAACUUCUAAGUUUGGUUCGACCAAAGAUAAUAAUAUUACUCGUACCGAGAACGAACACACGUGGUCAAGGAGAAUAUCCUCAGGCAAGCGAGUCAACUAUGGUUAAGGAACUCGGCAAAUUAACCCCGUAACUUCGGGAGAAGGGGUCCCCAGGGAAACCUGUUGUGGCGCAGUGAAGAGGCACGAACGACUGUUUACCAAAAACACAGCUCUCUGCUAAGGAGUAACCCGAUGUAUAGGGGGUGACGCCUGCCCAGUGCUAGAAGGUUAAGAGGAAAAGUCAGCCAGUAAUGGUAAAGCUUUGAAUGGAAGCCCUAGUGAACGGCGGCCGUAACUAUAACGGUCCAAAGGUAGCGAAAUUCCUUGUCAGGUAAGUUCUGACCCGCAUGAAAGGCGUAACGAUUCGUGCACUGUCUCAACCAUAGACUCGGUGAAAUCUCAGUACCUGUGAAGAUGCAGGUUACCCGCAACUAGACGGAAAGACCCCGUGGAGCUUUACUGCAACCUGAUGUUGAGUUUUUUUCUUAUUCGUUCAGGAUAGCAAUAGGUAGGAGACAAUGAUUCCAAGACGCCAGUUUUGGAGGAGUCAACGGUGAGAUACUACCCUUAUAAGCAAAAAAUUCUAACUUGUUGGUUUACAGCCAAAAGGACAGCGUUUGGUGGGUAGUUUAACUGGGGCGGUUGCCUCCUAAAAAGUAACGGAGGCGUUCAAAGGUAUCCUCAACAGGAAUAGAAAUCCUGUGGUGAGCGUAAAGGCAAAAGGAUGCUUAACUGUGAGACUUACAAGUCGAGCAGGCAGGAAAGAGAGCAAUCUCUUUCCGUACGAAAGUAGGACUUAGUGAUCUGCCGAUUAUCUAGCCUAGCAAUAGGUUAGCCUUGUGGUAAGGUCGGCACUCAACGAAUAAAAGUUACCCCGGGGAUAACAGGCUAAUCUUUUCCGAGCGACCAUAGCGACGAAAAGGAUUGGCACCUCGAUGUCGGCUCUUCUUAUCCUGGUGGUGAAGAAGCUACCAAGGGUUGGGCUGUUCGCCCAUCAAAAAGGAACGUGAGCUGGGUUCAGAACGUCGUGAGACAGUUUGGUUCCUAUCUAUUGCGGGCGUAGGAAAUUUGCGGGGGGCUAUCCCUUGUACGAGAGGACCGGGAUGGACUAACCAAUGGUGUACCAGUUGUUUCGUCAGAAGCACGGCUGGAUAGCUAUGUUAGGAAUAGAUAAGCGCUGAAAGCAUCUAAGUGCGAAGCUAGCCCCAAGAUUAAAUUUCCCAUUCCGUAAGGAAGUAAGAUACCUUUUAGACUAAGAGGUUGAUAGGCAACAAGUGUAAGCAUAGUAAUAUGUUCAGCUAAGUUGUACUAAUUUAUCGAGGACC